GUUCGGAUUGGAGUCUGCAAUUCGACUCCAUGAAGGCGGAAUCGCUAGUAAUCGCGGAUCAGCAUGCCGCGGUGAAUACGUUCCCGGGCCUUGUACACACCGCCCGUCACACCACGAAAGCUGGUUGAACCAGAAGCCGGCGACCCAACCCGCAAGGGAGGGAGCCGUCCAAGGUCUGGCUAGUGAUUGGGGUGAAGUCGUAACAAGGUAGCCGUAGGGGAACCUGCGGCUG
rnacentral:rRNA from 1 species